rfam:Brachypodium distachyon strain Bd21 chromosome 3, whole genome shotgun sequence.
UACGUACUUCCUCCGUUUAACAGAAAAUGUCUCAAAUUUGACUAAAUUUGGAUGCAUCUAUACACUAAGUCAUGUCUAGAUACAUCUAAAUUUUGUCAAACUUGAGACGUUUAUUGGACGGAGGGAAUACUAU